UGACAUCUUGUCUUAAAAUGCGAGAGGAUGGAUAGUGCAAUCAGCCCUGCGUCAGAGUUUAGUCUCUCCAAUGGAUUUGUCAAUAGCGUGUUCAACGUUUCAGUUGACGAAGAGAGCAAAGCUGAGAUCUCAUGGAUUCCAGAGUGCAAUUCCUCAGACUCCAUUAUUCCCGGUCAGACGCUCAGAAGAGAAAAACAGGAACCGGUCCGGCGCUCCAGGAUGGCGGCCAUCUGGAGGAUCCUGCAGCGCCGCAAGACCCCCUGGGACCUGGAUAGACGACCUCACUCCGUCAUCCUCCCCGGUGAAGCGUCCUUCCUCAAACUGUCCAUCACUAACAAAGUCAGGCCCUUCAAGAAACUAAAGUCCCCAUCUGUUUUUAGAGGAAAAGCCGGUAAGAUUUCUGAUGCCAAAUUCAACACUGACCUGAAAGACGAGGCUGAUUAUGUGUACAUGUGCAAGGACUCUCCUUCUUCAGACUUCAAGCAUGUGUUUAGGAAUAAAGCCAAGAGACAUUCAUUCGCAGGACACACUGCAGACUUCUACUGUUUGUUUGAGGACAUCGCCCCCGCUGGAACCCCAGACAACGUCCAGCAGGAGACCAAAGACACCGUUAGCAACCAAAACGGCUGUAAGUUGUCAGAAAGAGUCGUUUAUACAAAGAAAUCUCACCCCAGCUUCUUUAACUACAACAAUUCGACAGAACAGGAAGACUGCUUUACGAAGCAAAGCCUCAAGAUACCUCAAAGAAGACGAUGGGCCAGAGGGGGUGACGUUUUGAAUUACUUGAGAAGAAUUUCCCUCAAAGAAAAGGGAAGUCAGACGCUGGCAGAGAGUAGUUUUGAGUCAAUGAAUGCCCUGGACAAAACCAUCGAUUCUGACUACGGCUCGGUCAACUUUGAACUGGUCAAGGAUUUGAACUCUGCACCUGAACAAACAGGGAUUCAUGGCAAAAGCAGCCAUUUUCGAGGCCUUCUCCGAUUUUUCAACACCGUGGCUGAGACUGCAAUGAAAUGGAGAAACUCGUCCCGCUCGUUCUCCCCCCCUGAAGGCCAGCAGUCGCCUCUCGGAGUGAGAAAGACACAGGAGUCCGGAGAACUCGUGCCUUUGACAGUCAGGAGCGGUGAGCAGAAAGCCGAUACCUCAGUUCAGGGUAAACCCACGUUAUCUGCUGACAUGAGCAAGGCGGUCUCGCCUGAUAAUGCCAUGGUGGAUUGCUCUCCUCCUGUGGUGCUGAAGGCCUGGAGAACAUGCCCAGACUCUCCGAGAGAUAACAGCUCCCUGUGUAAUAACUCGGAUGAAUCCCAGUCUCAGCUCAGCUCAACUCACAUCUCUCUAGCCACCAUCGAGAGCCACCCGAGAUAUGAAGAACCAGAGCCACCAAAAGAGACACAGACUGGCUUUGAAAACACGGCGAUCCCACAUCACUCAUCUAGCAAAGCUGUUGAUGAAAACCAAGAUGUUUGCACGGAUAGGAAAAAGAUGAACUGCCCGGAGGACGUGUUUAAGGAGAUGCUCUGGAUGCAGUGCAAUGUGAAAUGCAGUGUUGUUGUAAGGUUACCUGACGUGCUGCAGUGAUUUUCAGACCCUGUCGCGGCCCCGGGGCCAGUCGCCUGCAGAUCCUCCUCUCAAAGCUCUGCUCCAGCGGUGUCGCUCUCUGCCGCUGCCCACCGCACUGUCAGCCCUGGAGCCCAUGGCCCUCACACACAUGCUCACUCCUCCAGG
rnacentral:lncRNA from 1 species